UCCGGGUUUCGCCCGGCAGUCUCCCUACAUCAUUCCUUAACUUUCAAGCCCUGGUAAGGUUCCUCGCGUAUCAUCGAAUUAAACCACAUGCUCCUCCGCUUGUGCGGGCCCCCGUCAAUUCCUUUGAGUUUCAACCUUGCGGUCGUACUCCCCAGGUGGAUCACUUAAUGCUUUCGCUCAGACGCGUACAGUAUAUCGCACACAUCGAGUGAUCAUCGUUUAGGGCGUGGACUAC
rnacentral:misc_RNA from 1 species